rnacentral:piRNA from 1 species
UAUGGUGAUGUCACGUUUGUUGUGGAAA